rnacentral:rRNA from 1 species
UACGUAGGGUCCGAGCGUUGUCCGGAAUUACUGGGCGUAAAGCGCACGUAGGCGGACUCUUAAGUCGGUGGUGAAAUCCUGGAGCUCAACUCCAGAACUGCCUUCGAUACUGAGAGUCUCGAGUCCGAGAGAGGUGAGUGGAACUGCGAGUGUAGAGGUGAAAUUCGUAGAUAUUCGCAAGAACACCGUGGCGAAGGCGGCUCUCUGGACCGAGACUGACGCUGAGGCGCGAAAGCGUGGGGAGCAAACAGG